UACGUAGGGACCGAGCGUUGUCCGGAAUCAUUGGGCGUAAAGAGCGUGUAGGCGGCUUGCUAAGUCCUGCGUGAAAUCUCGGGGCUCAACCCCGAGCGGUCGUGGGAAACUGGCAGGCUAGAGUGCGGGAGAGGAGAGUGGAAUUCCUGGUGUAGCGGUGAAAUGCGCAGAUAUCAAGGAAGAACACCCGUGGCGGAAGGCAGCUCUCUGGAACGCAA
rnacentral:rRNA from 1 species